rnacentral:rRNA from 1 species
GGUUAAGCGACUAAGCGUACACGGUGGAUGCCCUGGCAGUCAGAGGCGAUGAAGGACGUGCUAAUCUGCGAUAAGCGCCGGUAAGGUGAUAUGAACCGUUAUAACCGGCGAUACCCGAAUGGGGAAACCCAGUGUGAUUCGUCACACUAUCAUUAACUGAAUCCAUAGGUUAAUGAGGCGAACCGGGGGAACUGAAACAUCUAAGUACCCCGAGGAAAAGAAAUCAACCGAGAUUCCCCCA